AACGCACAUUGCGCCCGCCAGUAUUCUGGCGGGCAUGCCUGUUCGAGCGUCAUUUCAACCCUCAAGCCCCCGGGCUUGGUGUUGGAGAUCGGCAACUGCCCCUUGCGGGUGCGCCGUCUCCCAAAUCUAGUGGCGGUCUCGCUGUAGCUUCCUCUGCGUAGUAAUUCACCUCGCUCUGGAACGCAGCGCGGCCACGCCGUUAAACCCCCCACUUCUGAAGGUUGACCUCGGAUCAGGUAGGACUACCCGCUGAACUUAA
rnacentral:misc_RNA from 1 species